UGAGGAAUAUUGGUCAAUGGGCGCAAGCCUGAACCAGCCAUCCCGCGUGAAGGAUGAAGGCCCUAUGGGUCGUAAACUUCUUUUAUACACCAAGAAAAAGCAGGACGUGUCCCGCCCCGACGGUAGUGUAUGAAUAAGCAUCGGCUAACUCCGUGCCAGCAGCCGCGGUAAUACGGAGGAUGCGAGCGUUAUCCGGAUUCAUUGGGUUUAAAGGGUGCGUAGGCGGCUUUUUAAGUCAGUGGUGAAAUCUUGCCGCUUAACGGUAAAAUUGCCAUUGAUACUGAUAAGCUUGAGGACAGCUGAGGUAAGCGGAAUGUGUAGUGUAGCGGUGAAAUGCUUAGAUAUUACACAGAACACCGAUUGCGAAGGCAGCUUACUAAACUGUCACUGAAGCUGAUGCACGAAAGCGUGGGGAGCGAACA
rnacentral:rRNA from 1 species